rnacentral:rRNA from 1 species
CUCGGGGAUAGCCUUUCGAAAGAAAGAUUAAUACCCGAUGUCAUAGUCCUACCGCAUGAUGGGAUUAUUAAAGAAUUUCGGUAUGGGAUGGGGAUGCGUUCCAUUAGUUAGUUGGCGGGGUAACGGCCCACCAAGACAACGAUGGAUAGGGGUUCUGAGAGGAAGGUCCCCCACAUUGGAACUGAGACACGGUCCAAACUCCUACGGGAGGCAGCAGUGAGGAAUAUUGGUCAAUGGACGAGAGUCUGAACCAGCCAAGUAGCGUGAAGGAUGACUGCCCUACGGGUUGUAAACUUCUUUUAUAUGGGAAUAAAAUGUUCCACGUGUGGGAUUUUGUAUGUACCAUAUGAAUAAGGAUCGGCUAACUCCGUGCCAGCAGCCGCGGUAAUACGGAGGAUCCGAACGUUAUCCGGAUUUAUUGGGUUUAAAGGGAGCGUAGGUGGAUUGUUAAGUCAGUUGUGAAAGUUUGCGGCUCAACCGUAAAAUUGCAGUUGAAACUGGCAGUCUUGAGUACAGUAGAGGUGGGCGGAAUUCGUGGUGUAGCGGUGAAAUGCUUAGAUAUCACGAAGAACUCCGAUUGCGAAGGCAGCUCACUGGACUGCAACUGACACUGAGGCUCGAAAGUGUGGGUAUCAAACAGGAUUAGAUACCCUGGUAGUCCACACAGUAAACGAUGAAUACUCGCUGUUUGCGAUAUACUGCAAGCGGCCAAG